rnacentral:rRNA from 1 species
GACGAACGCUGGCGGCGUGCGUAACACAUGCAAGUCGAACGAGAGAGUGAGAGAAGCUUGCUUUUCUUAUGAUCGAGUGGCAAACGGGUGAGUAACGCGUAAACAACCUGCCCCGCAGAUGGGGACAACAGCUGGAAACGGCUGCUAAUACCGAAUACGCUCCUCUUAGCGCAUGGUAAGAGGAAGAAAGGGUGGCCUCUGGAACAAGCUACCGCUGUGGGAGGGGUUUGCGUCUGAUUAGCUGGUUGGAGGGGUAACGGCCCACCAAGGCGACGAUCAGUAGCCGGUCUGAGAGGAUGAACGGCCACAUUGGAACUGAGACACGGUCCAGACUCCUACGGGAGGCAGCAGUGGGGAAUCUUCCGCAAUGGGCGAAAGCCUGACGGAGCAACGCCGCGUGAGUGAAGACGGCCUUCGGGUUGUAAAGCUCUGUUAUAGGGGACGAACGGCCGGGUAGCGAAGA